AGUGAACGCUGGCGGCAGGCCUAACACAUGCAAGUCGAGCGGCAGCGGGUCCUUCGGGAUGCCGGCGAGCGGCGGACGCGUGAGGAAUGCGCCGGAAUCUGCUUUCUUGUGGGUGAUAAUGAAGGGAAACUUACGCUAAUACCGCAUACGACCUACGGGUGAAAGAGGGGGACCGCAAGGCAUCUCGCAGAAAGAUGAGCCGACGCGGGAUUAGUUAGUUGGCGGGGUAAAGGCCCACUAAGGCGACGAUCCGCAGCUGGCCUGAGAGGAUGAUCAGCCACACUGGAACGGAGACACGGUCCAGACUCCUACGGGAGGCAGCAGUGGGGAAUAUGGGACAAUGGGCGCAAGCCUGAUCCAGCCAUGCCGCGUGUGUUAAAAAGGCCUUCGGGUUGUAAAGCACGUUUGUCCGGAAAGAAAUCCUGUCGGCUAAUACCCGGCGGGGAUGACGGUACCGGAAGAAUAAGCACCGGCUAACUUCGUG
rnacentral:rRNA from 1 species